rnacentral:rRNA from 1 species
UGAGUACGAGAUGCUACGGCAUUGAAGCAGUCUAUGUCAUACUUCCAAGAAAAGCUUGCAAUGUCAUAAACAAAUAAUGCCUGUACCAUAACCGACACAGGUGGGUAGGUAGAGUAUACUAAGGGGCGCGAGGUAACUCUCUCUAAGGAACUCGGCAAAAUGACUCCGUAACUUCGGGAGAAGGAGUGCCUUAUUUUAUAAGGUUGCAAUAACAAGAUCCAAGCAACUGUUUACCAAAAACACAGGUCUCCGCUAAGUCGUAAGACGAUGUAUGGGGGCUGACGCCUGCCCAGUGCCGGAAGGUUAAAGAAGUUGGUUAGCAUUAGCGAAGCUGAUAACUGAAGCCCUGGUGAACGGCGGCCGUAACUAUAACGGUCCUAAGGUAGCGAAAUUCCUUGUCGGGUAAGUUCCGACCCGCACGAAAGGCGUAAUGAUUUGGAUACUGUCUCGGAGAGGGGCUCGGUGAAAUAGACUUGUCUGUGAAGAUGCGGACUACCUGCACCUGGGCAGAAAGACCCUAUGAAGCUUUACUGUAACUUGAGAUUUAAAAUUGGACUUUAUUUGCGCAGUAUAGGUGGGAGACAUUGAAAGUAUUCUUGCGGGAAUAUUGGAGUCAUCAGUGAGAUACCACUCUUAUAAUGUUAGAUUUCUAACUUUGUAUCAUUAUCUGGUCAAAGAACAGUUUCAGGCGGGCAGUUUGACUGGGGCGGUCGCCUCCCAAACGGUAACGGAGGCGCACAAAGGUUUCCUCUGAACGUGUAGAAAUCGUAUCUAGAGUGUAAAGGCAUAAGGAAGCUUGACUGUGAGACCUACAAGUCGAGCAGGGACGAAAGUCGGUCUUAGUGAUCUGACGGUGCUGAGUGGAAAGGCCGUCACUCAACGGAUAAAAGUUACUCUAGGAUAACAGGCUGAUCUCCCCCAAGAGUUCACAUCGACGGGGGGGUUUGGCACCUCGAUGUCGGCUCAUCGCAUCCUGGGGCGGUAGUACGUCCCAAGGGUUGGGCUGUUCGCCCAUGAAAGCGGUACGCGAGCUGGGUUCAGAACGUCGUGAGACAGUUCGGUCCAUAUCCGGUGUAGGCGUUAGAAUAUUGAGAGGAGCCUUCUUUAGUACGAGAGGACCGAGAAGGACAUACCUCUGGUGUACCAGUUAUCGUGCCAACGGUAAACGCUGGGUAGCUAUGUAUGGAGAGGAUAACCGCUGAAAGCAUCUAAGUGGGAAGCCCACCUCAAGAUAAGUAUUCUCA